ACGUGAACUGAUACACAACAUGUGAUCUCAGGGCAAUAAAGACAGGAUUCCCUAUGCCCUGAGAUCACAUGUUGUGUAUCAGU